rnacentral:misc_RNA from 1 species
UUUACAUGAAGUGGUUACACAGGCGUUGGUGGCACUUGAAGAUCUGGAGAUUGUUGAUUGUGGUCAACUGGUAUACUUGUGGCAAGAUUCCACUAAUUUAGACAAACUUGCUUGUCUGAGUCAUUUAAAGAUCAAAAGAUGCAAGAAGCUUGUGUUUUUGGUAGGGGGAGAGGAAGGGCUUUUACCUUGUAAGCUUGAAGUUUUGAACAUAGACCAUUGUUAUGAAUUGGAAAGUCUGCCAAAUGGGAUGCACAGCCUCACAUCUCUCAGAGUUUUACGCAUCUGUUCUUGCUUAAAGCUUGUGUCCUUUCCAGCUGCAGGUUUACCUUCCAGUCUUAAAAUUCUCCUGAUCAUAUUUUGUAAUUCUCUGGAGUCCAUGCCAGAGGGCAUUAUGCAUGAUAGUGAUACUAGCAAUGAGAUGUCUCAUCUUGAGGAUUUGUGUGUCAUAGGAUGUCCAUCUCUUUUAUCCCUUCCAAUUGGUGAAAUUCCUCAGUCGGUUAAGUUUCUUGGGUUUUGCUAUUGGACGACACAAUUAUUGGAGUCGCUUAGUGGUAGAUUCUCGCGUCUCAUUGAAUUAAAAAUAUGUGAAUCUCCAAAGUUAGAGUCUUUCACAUAAAGUGGAUUGGUCAUCCCCAAUCUUUGCUCUUUAACCAUAGAGGAUUGUAAGAAUUUGAAGUCAUUACCUAAUCAGAUGCAAAAUCUCAAAUCUCUUGUAUCUCUAGCCAUAAGAAAUUGUGGAGGUUUGGUGUCCUUUCCUGGAGGGGGUUUACCUCCAAACCUAACUUAUCUUGAAAUUUGGGAUUGCAAGAAUCUGACACAGCCAAUGUCGGAAUGGGGACUCCAUAGACUCACCUCUCUUAGAGAAUUUACAAUCAGUGGUAGAAGUCCUAGUACAGAUUUGGUUUCCUUUCCAGAUGAGGAAGGCCAUCUGCUUCCCUCUUCGCUAACCUGUCUUCACAUCGAAGGAUUUGAGAAUCUGAAAUCCAUA